GGAGUUAGCCGGUGCUUCUUCUGUGAGUGAUGUCCUUCCUGCCGGCUAUUAACCCGCAGGCCUUCUUCCUCACUGAAAGUGCUUUACAACCCGAAGGCCUUCUUCACACACGCGGCAUGGCUGGAUCAGGGUUGCCCCCAUUGUCCAAUAUUCCCCACUGCUGCCUCCCGUAGGAGUCUGGGCCGUGUCUCAGUCCCAGUGUGGCUGAUCAUCCUCUCAGACCAGCUACGGAUCGUCGCCUUGGUGAGCCGUUACCUCACCAACCAGCUAAUCCGACAUAGGCUCAUCCGAUAGCGCGAGGCCCGAAGGUCCCCCGCUUUCCCCCGUAGGGCGUAUGCGGUAUUAGCCUGGGUUUCCCCCAGGUUAUCCCCCACUACCGGGCAGAUUCCUAUGCAUUACUCACCCGUCCGCCGCUCGCCACCAGGGAGCAAGCUCCCCGUGCUGCCGCUCGACUUGCAUGUGUUAGCGUCGCCGCCACGCGUCAUACUGAACCAACGAUACAAAUUACUGA
rnacentral:rRNA from 1 species